rnacentral:rRNA from 1 species
UACGGGGGGGCAAGCGUUGUUCGGAAUUACUGGGCGUAAAGGGCUCGUAGGCGGCCAACUAAGUCAGACGUGAAAUCCCCAGGCUUAACCUGGGAACUGCGUCUGAUACUGGAUGGCUUGAAUUCGGGAGAGGGAUGCAGAAUUCCAGGUGUAGCGGUGAAAUGCGUAGAGAUCGUAAGGAAGGCCAGUGGCGAAGGCGAGUUCCUGGACAGUUACUGACGCUGAGGCACGAAGGCCAGGGGAGCAAACGGG